rnacentral:rRNA from 1 species
UUACGGUCAAAUCACGCUGAAACACCGGUUCUCGUACGAUCACCGAAGUUAAGCAGCGUAGAGCCAGGUCAGUACUUAGAUGGGGGACCGCUUGGGAACACCUGGAACUGUAAG